GAUGUGUUAGACCAAAUGGGGACGG
rnacentral:piRNA from 1 species